rnacentral:rRNA from 1 species
CAUUAUACCGCGAAACUGCGAAUGGCUCAUUAAAUCAGUUAUCGUUUAUUUGAUAGUACCUUACUACUUGGAUAACCGUGGUAAUUCUAGAGCUAAUACAUGCUAAAAAUCCCGACUCACGGAGGGAUGUAUUUAUUAGAUUAAAAACCAAUGCCCUCUGGGGCUUUGAGUUGAUUCACAAUAACUUCUCGAAUCGCAUGGCCUUGCGCCGGCGAUGGUUCAUUCAAAUUUCUGCCCUAUCAACUUUCGAUGGCAGGGUCUUGGCCUGCCAUGGUUACAACGGGUAACGGAGGGUUAGGGCUCGACCCCGGAGAAGGAGCCUGAGAAACGGCUACUACAUCCAAGGAAGGCAGCAGGCGCGCAAAUUACCCAAUCCCGAUACGGGGAGGUAGUGACAAUAAAUACUGAUACAGGGCUCUUUAGGGUCUUGUAAUUGGAAUGAGUACAAUUUAAAUCCCUUAACGAGGAACAAUUGGAGGGCAAGUCUGGUAAACGGUAGUUUCAAAUAACACUGCUGGUGCCGGAAAUAGUGGUCCUUUUAGGGCCGCUAGUCGAGCAUCCCGUCGUUACGGGUGGGUGCCGGCGAGACAACCUGGGUCGGGGAACGCUACGGGCUACAAUGCCUACGCCAAUCCCGAGCAGAGCUGCCACCGCAGCCUGUGUAGAGCGCGCAAAGGUGUCGGUCUGACCGCUUACCCUGUAUAUCCUACCCUGUAAGAUAUACCCUGUAGGUGUGAUGGCUUAAGGGACGUGCCAACCCCCCCCGAAAGGGGGGCUUCUAAUCCAAGUGCCCGUAGCACGAAGGUUAGGGAGGUCGAGAGACCUGUAAAUAGUGGCCAGCAGCCGCGGUAAUUCCAGCUCCAAUAGCGUAUAUUAAAGUUGUUGAAGUUAAAAAGCUCGUAGUUGAACCUUGGGCCUGGCUGGCCGGUCCGCCUCACCGCGUGCACUGGUUCGGCCGGGCCUUUCCCUCUGGGGAACCCCAUGCCAUUCAUUUGGUGUGCGGGGGAACCAGGACUUUUACUGUGAAAAAAUUAGAGUGUUCAAAGCAGGCCUAUGCUCGAAUACAUUAGCAUGGAAUAAUAGAAUAGGACGUGCGGUUCUAUUUUGUUGGUUUCUAGGACCGCCGUAAUGAUUAAUAGGGACAGUCGGGGGCAUCAGUAUUCAAUUGUCAGAGGUGAAAUUCUUGGAUUUAUUGAAGACUAACUACUGCGAAAGCAUUUGCCAAGGAUGUUUUCAUUAAUCAGGAACGAAAGUUAGGGGAUCGAAGACGAUCAGAUACCGUCGUAGUCUUAACCAUAAACUAUGCCGACUAGGGAUCGGACGAUGUUAUUUUUUGACUCGUUCGGCACCUUACGAGAAAUCAAAGUCUUG